rnacentral:rRNA from 1 species
UACGUAGGGGGCAAGCGUUGUCCGGAUUUAUUGGGCGUAAAGAGCGUGUAGGCGGCCAGGUAGGUCAGCUGUGAAAACUCGAGGCUUAACCUCGAGACGCCGGCUGAAACCCUCUGGCUAGAGUCCGGAAGAGGAGAGCGGAAUUCCUUGUGUAGCGGUGAAAUGCGCAGAUAUCAGGAAGAACACCCGUGGCGAAGGCGGCUCUCUGGGACGGUACUGACGCUGAGACGCGAAAGCGUGGGGAGCGAACAGG